GUCAUGAGAGGGCAGUGAAGAUGAGAUGCAGGGCAGGUCCCUUGGGUGUCCAAGGAAAUCGCACAGGGCUCUAGGAACUCUCGAAGUUUCCGCCCAGCCCUCAGGGGGAAGCUUCUAGUAACGCGCCCCAGAUGUGCUGCUGGGGACCAGGCCAAGAGCGUGAGAUGGCUGGCUGGUGGGAAAACAACUCGAUUUCCCCAGAAGAGCCUCCCGCGGUGGGCAGACACCCCCUGUUGGCCUCGACACUCCCCUCUCUGGAGCAGGGGACCCUUGGCUUGGAGGUAUCCUUUCCAAGGCCUGCAAGAAGCAGAGGAGGAUCCUUCAGGGUUCCUGAGCUGGGAUGUGCAGAAGACUGAGGUAGGGAGGUGAGCCUGGGCGUGGAGAUGUUUUUCCAUCAAGAAUGGAGGAGGUGGAGGAGGAUGAAUGAGAGAUUGUGUCUUCUUCCAGAGAGGAUUUAGUCUCAUGAGGCUACCGGAGGUGCAUCUGAUGAGCCCCUGGUUUGGGUGAAGACCACAAAGCCUGCUUGGGGAUGGAGGAGGAACCGGAAGAAGGCAAGCUCUCAGAGCCUGUAUCCUGGUCUCUUCUCAGUUCCUGCCCUGGAUUAUAGGGUUCAGGGUUGUUGGUGUCCUCCAGCUACCAUAAUUUCUCUCUUCAAGAGGAC